UAGACAGGAGGUUGCUGGCCACAGGG
rnacentral:misc_RNA from 1 species